UACGUAGGGUGCGAGCGUUGUCCGGAAUUACUGGGCGUAAAGGGCUCGUAGGUGGUUUGUCGCGUCGUCUGUGAAAUUCUGGGGCUUAACUCCGGGCGUGCAGGCGAUACGGGCAUAACUUGAGUGCUGUAGGGGUAACUGGAAUUCCUGGUGUAGCGGUGAAAUGCGCAGAUAUCAGGAGGAACACCGAUGGCGAAGGCAGGUUACUGGGCAGUUACUGACGCUGAGGAGCGAAAGCAUGGGUAGCGAACAGGAUUAGAUACCCUGGUAGUCCAUGCCGUAAACGGUGGGCGCUAGGUGUGAGGGUCUUUCUACGACUUUCGUGCCGUAGCUAACGCAUUAAGCGCCCCGCCUGGGGAGUACGGCCGCAAGGCUAAAACUC
rnacentral:rRNA from 1 species